rnacentral:rRNA from 1 species
AUUGAACGCUGGCGGCAUGCCUUACACAUGCAAGUCGAACGGCAGCGGGCCUUCGGGUGCCGGCGAGUGGCGAACGGGUGAGUAAUGCAUCGGAACGUGCCAUUGAGUGGGGGAUAACGUAGCGAAAGUUACGCUAAUACCGCAUAUUCUGUGAGCAGGAAAGCAGGGGACCGCAAGGCCUUGCGCUCUUUGAGCGGCCGAUGUCAGAUUAGCUAGUUGGUGAGGUAAAGGCUUACCAAGGCGACGAUCUGUAGCGGGUCUGAGAGGAUGAUCCGCCACACUGGAACUGAGACACGGUCCAGACUCCUACGGGAGGCAGCAGUGGGGAAUUUUGGACAAUGGGCGCAAGCCUGAUCCAGCCAUGCCGCGUGAGUGAAGAAGGCCUGGUU